GCUACGGGCGGCAGCAGUGAGGAAUAUUGGUCAAUGGCCGGAAGGCUGAACCAGCCAAGCCGCGUGAAGGACGAAGGUGCCAAGCAUUGUAAACUUCUUUUGUCAAGGGACAAAAUCAGGCUCGAGAGCCUGACCGAGGGGACUUGAAGAAAAAGCACCGGCUAACUCCGUGCCAGCAGCCGCGGUAAUACGGAGGAUGCUCGCGUUAUCCGGAUUUAUUGGGGUUAAAGGGUGCGGAGGCAGACUGUUAAGGCAGCGGUAAAGCCCGGGGCUCAACCCCGGCGAGCCGGUGAAACUGGCUGUCUGGAGAUGUCGAGAGGUAUGCGGAAUGCGCAGUGUAGCGGUGAAAUGCUUAGAUAUUGCGCAGAACUCCGAUUGCGAAGGCAGCAUACCGGCGGCGAUCUGACGCUGAGGCACGAAAGCGUGGGUAUCGAACAGGAUUAGAUACCCUGGUAGUC
rnacentral:rRNA from 1 species